UACGAAGGGGGCUAGCGUUGCUCGGAAUCACUGGGCGUAAAGGGCGCGUAGGCGGCCAUUCAAGUCGGGGGUGAAAGCCUGUGGCUCAACCACAGAAUUGCCUCGAUACUGUUUGGCUUGAGUUUGGUAGAGGUUGGUGGAACUGCGAGUGUAGAGGUGAAAUUCGUAGAUAUUCGCAAGAACACCAGUGGCGAAGGCGGGUCUCUGGGCAACAACUGACG
rnacentral:rRNA from 1 species